GGGGAAUAUUGCACAAUGGGCGCAAGCCUGAUGCAGCAACGCCGCGUGCGGGAAGAAGGCCUUAGGGUUGUAAACCGCUUUCAGCAGGGAAGAAAAUGACGGUACCUGCAGAAGAAGGAGCGGCCAACUACGUGCCAGCAGCCGCGGUGACACGUAGGCUCCAAGCGUUGUCCGGAUUUAUUGGGCGUAAAGAGCUCGUAGGCGGUUUAGUAAGUCGGGUGUGAAAACUCAGGGCUUAACCCUGAGACGCCACUCGAUACUGCUAUGACUUGAGUACGGUAGGGGAGUGGGGAAUUCCUGGUGUAGCGGUGAAAUGCGCAGAUAUCAGGAGGAACACCAGUGGCGAAGGCGCCACUCUGGGCCGUAACUGACGCUGAGGAGCGAAAGCGUGGGUAGCAAAC
rnacentral:rRNA from 1 species